rnacentral:tRNA from 1 species
GGGGCUAUAGUGUAGCUUGGCUAUCACUUCUGGUUUGGGGCCAGACAACCCCGGUUCGAAUCCGGGUAGCCCCG